CCCUGCCACUUCCUCUCUUUCCCCAGAAACCACCUUCAUCCUGGAGAUGGGGCCACAUGCUGGGGCUAACAAGAUGGACAGAGCCUGGAAUGCUGGAGGAUGCAUGAGGCCAGAGGAAGAAGAAUCUUCUUGUUUUUGUCCAGGGGCUUCUUAGCUUGCCAAGAGACAGGCUUUGGGCAGGAAAUUGGCAUCAGUGAGGUGACUGGAGUAACCAGUGAACACAAGAGGCCUGGCUGGCGACCCCGGAUUAACAUUCUGCAGGCUCCCAGGAAAAACCCAGAGACCUUGAGAGUAUGAGCAAUCUGGAUUCCCUAGGAACACAGGAUGACCAUGAAAGCUGUGGUUCUAAUUCCACCAACCGUAGUACUACUGAGAACACAAAAUCAUCAAUCAAACCACGGAGAAUUCAGCAGGCUGCGCCUACAGAUCCUGACUUACCACCAGCUCUUCCAGUGGACAGCCUGGCUUGGGCUCCUGACUCUAACACUUUGUCACUCUCCAGCAGCCUGGUCUUCAGCGAUGGGCUGGCCGCUGUCUGCCUCAGUUUCCUCAUCUACAAAAUGAAACUAAUAAUAGUCCCACCUCCUGGGUUGUUGUGGGGGUCAAAUGAGUCCUUCCACAUAUGAUGAUGUAACAGGAGUAGAAAACUCCUGGCAUCUGGCAAUAACUCAAUAAAGGUGGUUAUUAAUACAAUUAUUAUCAUUUACUGUCGAGCCUCAUCUGUUAUGUUCUCCCCCUUGUGAAACUGCAUCUUCCUUUCCCUCCAUCUCCUCUGAUGUGAAAUGUCGAUAAUGACAGUCAGCAUCAGUGUCACUGAGUGGACG
rnacentral:lncRNA from 1 species